GAUCCUCAUCAGCCCUGAUGGAGACUCCAAAGAGCUGGUAGGUGCAAGAAGCACCACGUUCUGUGGAACAAUCUCCGUGGCUGGUGGUGGAGCCAAACUCUGGAACCUGGGAAUGAACACUGCUCUAAGUGCUAAUGUGCAAGCUGAGAAAUGCCCAACUCAGAAGUGGCUUGACCAACAGGAUGACCACUAGGAAAGAACAAAAGGCCCGAAUCCACUUGGCUGGACAGCCCUGGGAAGCAGCCACGAGGCGUUCUCAGCUCUGUUGAAGGAAUUGGGAAGCCAGCAAGUGGUCGGUGAAGAGCCUCCACUGGAGCAUAAGCCUCGUGACUCCAAACUGGGCUCCUUCCACUUUAUGCACCAAGUGGCUGCUUUCCACUCACACUGGUUUGCUUAAUCUUCUUUGGACGUAUGGAGCAGGUGAAGCUCCUGCAACAGCAGACCAGCAGGGGAAACUUAAAUUGCCCUUUAUACUUAAUGAACGAGGAAUGCAACACCUUUCUCGUAGAAUUGGCUCACCAACGCAGAGAUUCACAGCUGAAGAAGCAAGAAGAGAGAAAUCAAAACCUUCAACGAAGGACAGAGGUGACUUUGGAAUGCACCCUAUGAAGUCCUGCUGCUCUCCUGCUUUUGAGGAUAAGGAAUAUUCUUACUUCGUGGAAAAUUAAUGUCAAUUCGAGCAGUCAUCACUGAACCCGAGAACUCAGUUCAGAAACCGGACUUCUCAAAGCAGAGAAGACUAAAAGAUGACACGGGAAGUUGGACGAAACAUAUUCUCUGCUCUCACCAGCCCUGUGUUUCUAAGACAUGUUCUUGUGACAGAUUAUAAAGUUAAUUUGGUGGCUGCACAUAAUUGCCAAAAUACUUUAUUAUUUGACCCCGUGAUCAGGAGAUUAAUAAACAUAGACUUUCAUCAGGCGUUUCUCAUGCCUCGCUAGAACUCUUCCAUGAGUGACCCUCUGAUCUCUCAGCCUCCACCUCUUACCCCUUCUGGUCCACCUUCCUCACCACCAUCAGCGUGAUCUUCUCAAAAAAAUCUUAUGGGAACUCACUUCUGUCCAAAAGAAAACAAAACGAAAACCGAGGAACCAAAUUCCUCUGUAGUUUUCUGUUGCGUAGAAUUACGUCUUCUUCUUCAUGUUGAUGUGUGAUCUCACCUCAACCUACUUCUCUUGAUCACCUCCUUCUGCUCUUCAUGUGGUUCCUGUCUUCUCCAGCUAUCUUAAAUUUCCAAAUAUUCCUUAAUAUGCCAAGAUUUUUCAUGUCUCUGAUCGGAAUGUUUUUGCCUCUUUCUUCGUCUGAGGAGAGUAGUGAAUAAUGAGGCAGGAGAGAUGCACGCGAGAUGGUAGUGGAGAGCUGGUACUGGUAGAGAAUUUGCACUUUAUCCU
rnacentral:lncRNA from 1 species